UGUGUAGGCGGUUCUCUAAGUUUGGUGUGAAAUCUCCCGGCUCAACCGGGAGGGUGCGCCGAAAACUGGAGGGCUAGAGUGCGGGAAGGGAGAGUAGAAUUCCUGGUGUAGCGGUGAAAUGCGUAGAUAUCAGGAGGAAUACCGGUGGUGCAGACGGCUCUCUGGACCGCGACUGACGCUGAGACACGAAAGCGUGGGUAGCAAACA
rnacentral:rRNA from 1 species